AAAUAAAUAAGAUAUAGGAUUCCACUAUGUAUGGUCUAUGAAUUACAUCAUAAAAGGCAAUGUGAUAAAGCAUCAAUAUAAUAAAAAUAAUAGAGAAUUAAAAAUUUUAACUUGAAACAAGAACUACAAAUUUAAAGCAAUAAUAAAGAGCCGCCCGGGUUAAUAAAACUGAGAAAAUUAACUCGGAAAGAAAUUUUUUGGAAGCUCCGUUGCGGGAUUCAGACCUAACCAUUCAAGGAGAAGCAGUGGGAACGACAGAACCUAUGAUUCCAUAGGAUUUUAUUGAAAAGAAUCCUAACACUUCAUUGGGUGGGAUGGCGGAACAAACCAAAAAAAUUGUCUUAUUUGGUAAGUUUAUAAAUUAACAAAUAAGACAGGAAAGAGUAAAUAUUCGCCCGCGAAAUUCUUAUUGAAUUAGAAUACUUUACCGCGAUUCAAUAAGAGUAAAAAUAAGGAUUUUUUUAAGAAGGAUUACAUUAUCUAUAAAUAUAGAAUUUAGAUAAAUAUACACACACAUCUGGAUAUAUUCUAGAUCUUCUUUUUUGACUAUAUAUUAUAUUUUUCUGUUUUAACAAAUUCAAUAUAAAAAAACCGAACUUUUUCUAUUAUCUAUUAAUGUGUAUCUAUCCGUACCGUAAUAUUUUUGAAUAUUAUGAAUUAGAGAAAUUUACAUGCUUUCUCAUUCCAUUCGCGAGGAGCUGGAUGAGAAGAAACUCUCAUGUCCAGUUUUGCAGUAGAGAUGGAACUAAGAAAGAGAACCAUCGACUAUAACCCCAAAAGAACCAGAUUUCGCAAACCACAUAGAGGAAGAAUGAAAGGAAAAUCUUGCCGAGGCAAUCGUAUUUGUUUUGGUAGAUAUGCUCUUCAAGCACUUGAACCCCCUUGGAUCACGGCGAGACAGAUAGAAGCAGGACGAAGAGCAAUAACACGAUAUGCACGUCGUGGUGGAAAAAUAUGGGUACGUAUAUUUCCCGACAAACCGGUUACACUAAGACCCACGGAAACACGUAUGGGCUCGGGAAAGGGGUCCCCCGAAUAUUGGGUAUCCGUUGUUAAACCUGGUCGUAUACUUUAUGAAAUGGGGGGAGUAUCUGAAACUGUAGCUAGAGCAGCUAUCUCCAUAGCUGCCAGUAAAAUGCCCAUACGAAGUCAAUUUAUUCGAUUAGAGAUAUAGAACCCUAAAAGGGGUAUGGAAGAUAAAAAAAAAUGCCCGGUUUUUCUUUCUGGAAAGACAAUAUUUCUUUCAUCCUUUUGCAUUGAAAUAACAAAUUGAAAUCAAAAUAAAAAAUAAUAUGAUUCAACCUCAGACCCUUUUAAAUGUAGCAGAUAAUAGUGGAGCUCGAAAAUUGAUGUGUAUUCGAGUCAUAGGAGCUNNNNNNNNNNAAAGGGCUCGAAUAGAAAAAUAGAAUCAGACUCAAGUUCCGAAGUAAUUACACAUAAUAGAAAAAUGGACUCAGGUUCAAGUUCCGAAGUAAUUACACAUAUAGAAAUCCAAAAAGAAAUCGAUACGAUCCACGUCAUAAUCCAUAUUGGAUUCCCAAAUUUAUUAAAGAAAAAAGGAGCAAUCGAAGAAUUAGAGAAAGAUCUACAAAAGGAAAUUAACUCUGUAAACCAGAGAUUUAAUAUUUCUAUCGAAAAAGUGAAAGAACCUUAUAGACAGCCUAACAUUCUUGCAGAAUAUAUAGCUUUCCAAUUAAAAAAUAGAGUUUCAUUCCGAAAGGCAAUGAAAAAAGCCAUUGAAUUAACUAAAAAAGCAGAUAUAAGGGGAGUAAAAGUAAAAAUUGCGGGUCGUCUCGGAGGAAAAGAAAUUGCACGCGCCGAAUCUAUUAAAAAGGGUAGACUUCCCCUCCAAACAAUUCACGCUAAAAUUGAUUAUUGCUGCUAUCCAAUUCGGACUAUCUAUGGAGUAUUAGGUGUAAAAAUUUGGAUAUUCGUAGACGAAGAAUAAGUAAUCUUGUCUUUGGAUUCUGUCCAUUGAUAGAAUAAAAAAUGACAAGAGACUUUUUUCCUGAAAUCCCUGCAAAAGAAGAAAUUAUACCUCUUUCUAUAAGAUUUAAUGAAAAUUGAUAAAUCAUUUAAUAUAAUUGCUAUGCUUAGUGUGUGACUCGUUAUUUUUUUCUUUUUUUUAAGAAAAAAACUUAGUAAUUAUAGAAAAUUAACUAAUAACCAACCUAUUGCUUCGUAUUGUCGAGAUCCUAACUAAGAAACAGUCACUAUAUGAAUAAAUACCUCUAUCAUAAAUGAGUAGAUGUGUCAUAUAGUUGUAGCAACUGCAAUUUUUUCUCUAAAAAAGAAAAGGGAUUCUAGGUUGUGAAGCAAAACUAAAGGGAUGUGGAUAAAGGGAGGGAUGAUAGAAAGAAGGAAGAUGAAAUAAAUAAGAUAUAGGAUUCCACUAUGUAUGGUCUAUGAAUUACAUCAUAAAAGGCAAUGUGAUAAAGCAUCAAUAUAAUAAAAAUAAUAGAGAAUUAAAAAUUGUAACUUGAAACAAGAACUACAAAUUUAAAGCAAUAAUAAAGAGCCGCCCGGGUUAAUAAAACUGAGAAAAUUAACUCGGAAAGAAAUUUUUUGGAAGCUCCGUUGCGGGAUUCAGACCUAACCAUUCAAGGAGAAGCAGUGGGAACGACAGAACCUAUGAUUCCAUAGGAUUUUAUUGAAAAGAAUCCUAACACUUCAUUGGGUGGGAUGGCGGAACAAACCAAAAAAAUUGUCUUAUUUGGUAAGUUUAUAAAUUAACAAAUAAGACAGGAAAGAGUAAAUAUUCGCCCGCGAAAUUCUUAUUGAAUUAGAAUACUUUACCGCGAUUCAAUAAGAGUCAAAAUAAGGAUUUUUUUAAGAAGGAUUACAUUAUCUAUAAAUAUAGAAUUUAGAUAAAUAUACACACACAUCUGGAUAUAUUCUAGAUCUUCUUUUUUAACUAUAUAUUAUAUUUUUCUGUUUUAACAAAUUCAAUAUAAAAAAAACCGAACUUUUUCUAUUAUCUAUUAAUGUGUAUCUAUCCGUACCGUAAUAUUUUGGAAUAUUAUGAAUUAGAUAAAUUUACAUGCUUUCUCAUUCCAUUCGCGAGGAGCUGGAUGAGAAGAAACUCUCAUGUCCAGUUUUGCAGUAGAGAUGGAACUAAGAAAGAGAACCAUCGACUAUAACCCCAAAAGAACCAGAUUUCGCAAACAACAUAGAGGAAGAAUGAAAGGAAAAUCCUGCCGAGGCAAUCGUAUUUGUUUUGGUAGAUAUGCUCUUCAAGCACUUGAACCCGCUUGGAUCACGGCGAGACAGAUAGAAGCAGGACGAAGAGCAAUAACACGAUAUGCACGUCGUGGUGGAAAAAUAUGGGUACGUAUAUUUCCCGACAAACCGGUUACACUAAGACCCACGGAAACACGUAUGGGCUCGGGAAAGGGGUCCCCCGAAUAUUGGGUAUCCGUUGUUAAACCUGGUCGUAUACUUUAUGAAAUGGGGGGAGUAUCUGAAACUGUAGCUAGAGCAGCUAUCUCCAUAGCUGCCAGUAAAAUGCCCAUACGAAGUCAAUUUAUUCGAUUAGAGAUAUAGAACCCUAAAAGGGGUAUGGAAGAUAAAAAAAAAUGCCCGGUUUUUCUUUCUGGAAAGACAAUAUUUCUUUCAUCCUUUUGCAUUGAAAUAACAAAUUGAAAUCAAAAUAAAAAAUAAUAUGAUUCAACCUCAGACCCUUUUAAAUGUAGCAGAUAAUAGUGGAGCUCGAAAAUUGAUGUGUAUUCGAGUCAUAGGAGCUACUGGUAAUCAGCGAUAUGCUCGUAUUGGUGAUGUUAUUGUUGCUGUAAUCAAAGACGCAUUGCCCCAAAUGCCUCUAGAAAGAUCCGAAGUAAUUCGAGCUGUAAUUGUACGUACAUGUAAAGAGUUCAAAUGCGAAGACGGUAUAAUAAUCCGCUAUGAUGACAAUGCUGCGGUUAUAAUUGAUCAAAAAGGCAAUCCAAAAGGAACUCGAGUUUUUGGCGCGAUUGCCGAGGAAUUGAGAGAAUUGAAUUUUACCAAAAUAGUUUCAUUAGCUCCUGAAGUAUUAUAAAUACUAGUAGGCGAAAUUGAGACCAAAGAAUUAAUUUAGUAGAUUGUGUUUUACGUAUAUGUUUUAAAAUCCAAAAUCAAAAAAAAAAGAAAACAUGUUGAUUAUAGAAAAAUUAGGAGGAACCUAGAAUUAGAGUCUUAUGGGCAAGGACACUAUUGCUGAUUUACUAACCUCUAUAAGAAAUGCGGACAUGAAUAAAAAAGGAACAGUUCGAGUAGUAUCUACAAAUAUUACCGAAAACAUUGUUAAAAUACUUCUACGAGAGGGUUUUAUUGAAAGUGUUCGGAAACAUCAGGAACGUAACAGAUAUUUCUUGGUUUCAACUUUGCGACAUCAAAAGAGAAAGACUAGAAAAGGAAUAUAUAGAACAAGAACCUUUUUAAAGCGUAUCAGCCGACCCGGCUUACGAAUUUAUACCAACUAUCAAGGAAUUCCUAAAGUUUUGGGUGGAAUGGGAAUUGCUAUUCUUUCUACUUCUCGAGGAAUAAUGACAGAUCGAGAAGCUCGACUAAACAGAAUUGGGGGAGAAGUCUUAUGUUAUAUAUGGUAAUCGCCCCGCCUAUAGUGCUUGAAUUCUAUCUCGCCCUUCCUAUUUUUAAAAUAAAAAUAGAAAAAUAGGAGAAAAAAAAUAUGACAGAAAAAAAAAUAGGAGAGAAAAAAAAACCCGAGAGAAGCAAAAGUAACUUUCGAAGGUUUAGUUACGGAAGCCCUACCCAAUGGAAUGUUCCGCGUUCGGCUAGAGAAUGACACCAUCAUCCUAGGCUAUAUUUCAGGAAAGAUACGGUCUAGUUCUAUACGAAUACUGAUGGGGGAUAGGGUCAAAAUUGAAGUAAGUCGUUAUGAUUCAAGCAAGGGACGUAUAAUUUAUAGACUUCCCCAUAAGGAUUCGAAGCGUAUCGAAGACUCGAAGGAUAGCGAAGAUUUGAAGGAUAGCAAAGAUUUGAAGGAUACCAAAGAUUCAAAGGAUUAGGUUUUUCUUUUUUUUCUAGGGUAAUAAAUUCUAAGUUCUAAAAUUCAAGCGAAGAUACUUAUUUUUUCCAAAAGAUUAGAUUCAUAGUUUAAAAAAGGAUACGGAAAUAUGAAAAUAAGAGCUUCCGUUCGUAAAAUUUGUACAAAAUGUCGACUGAUUCGUAGGCGUGGACGAAUUAGAGUCAUUUGCUCUAAUCCGAAGCAUAAACAAAGACAGGGGUAAUCUUUCGAAAAAGAACUUUACUUUCUAAAAAGUAAAAAAAAGUACCCGCGGAAAUGUUCCAAUUCCAAAUAAAAUAAUUUCAUUUAAAAUAAUUAAAGUAAAGGGUUUAUUUUACCCUGAAACGGAUAUCUUUGUAUCUUUUUUUAUUUUUUUUAUUUCUAACUCAUAUUUAUGAGAUAAUAAAAUAUGGCAAAAGCUAUACCAAAAAUUGGUUCACGUAAGAAAGUGCGUAUUGGUUUACGUAGGAAUGCACGUUUUAGUUUACGGAAGAGUGCACGUAGAAUAACAAAAGGGGUUAUUCAUGUUCAAGCUAGUUUCAACAAUACCAUUAUAACUGUUACAGACCCACAAGGUCGGGUGGUUUUUUGGUCCUCGGCCGGUACUUGUGGAUUCAAAAGCUCAAGAAAAGCAUCACCCUAUGCUGGUCAAAGAACAGCAGUAGAUGCUAUUCGUACAGUAGGUUUGCAACGAGCAGAAGUUAUGGUAAAGGGCGCUGGUAGUGGAAGAGAUGCCGCAUUACGAGCCAUUGCUAAAAGUGGUGUGCGAUUAAGUUGUAUACGCGAUGUAACACCUAUGCCACAUAAUGGAUGUCGACCGCCUAAAAAAAGACGUCUGUAAAAGAAUUAACCCGCUUUCAACUUUCAUUUCAAGAGAAAUAAACGAUUCAAUGAUAAAAUAAUAAUACUAGUCUAUUAUGGUUCGAGAGGAGGUAGCAGGAUCCACUCAAACACUACAGUGGCAGUGUGUUGAAUCAAGAGUAGAUAGUAAGCGCCUUUAUUAUGGUCGUUUCAUUCUGUCCCCGCUUAGAAAAGGUCAAGCGGACACCGUCGGUAUUGCCUUGCGAAGAGCUUUACUUGGAGAAAUAGAAGGAACAUGUAUCACACGUGCAAAAUUUGGGAGCGUGCCGCACGAGUAUUCUACAAUAGCAGGUAUUGAAGAAUCCGUACAAGAAAUUUUACUAAAUUUGAAAGAAAUUGUAUUGAGAAGUAAUCUCUAUGGAGUUAGAGACGCAUCCAUUUGCGUCAAAGGUCCUAGAUACAUAACUGCUCAAGAUAUCAUCUUACCGCCUUCCGUAGAAAUCGUUGAUACGGCACAACCUAUAGCUAACUUGACAGAGCCCAUUGAUUUCUGUAUUGAUUUACAGAUCAAGAGAGAUCGUGGAUAUCAGACAGAACUCAGAAAGAACUAUCAAGAUGGAAGUUAUCCUAUAGAUGUUGUAUCCAUGCCUGUUCGAAAUGUGAAUUAUAGUAUUUUUUCUUGUGGGAAUGGAAAUGAAAAACACGAGAUACUUUUUCUAGAAAUAUGGACUAAUGGAAGUUUAACCCCUAAGGAAGCACUUUAUGAGGCUUCUCGUAAUUUGAUUGAUUUAUUUCUUCCUUUUCUACACGCGGAGGAAGAGGGCGCUAGUUUCGAAGAAAAUAAAAACAGGUUUACUCCACCCCUU
rnacentral:lncRNA from 1 species